rnacentral:rRNA from 1 species
UUAAGCGACUAAGCGUACACGGUGGAUGCCCUGGCAGUCAGAGGCGAUGAAGGACGUGCUAAUCUGCGAUAAGCGUCGGUAAGGUGAUAUGAACCGUUAUAACCGGCGAUUUCCGAAUGGGGAAACCCAGUGUGUUUCGACACACUAUCAUUAACUGAAUCCAUAGGUUAAUGAGGCGAACCGGGGGAACUGAAACAUCUAAGUACCCCGAGGAAAAGAAAUCAACCGAGAUUCCCCCAGUAGCGGCGAGCGAACGGGGAGCAGCCCAGAGCCUGAAUCAGUGUGUGUGUUAGUGGAAGCGUCUGGAAAGGCGCGCGAUACAGGGUGACAGCCCCGUACACAAAAAUGCACAUGCUGUGAGCUCGAUGAGUAGGGCGGGACACGUGGUAUCCUGUCUGAAUAUGGGGGGACCAUCCUCCAAGGCUAAAUACUCCUGACUGACCGAUAGUGAACCAGUACCGUGAGGGAAAGGCGAAAAGAACCCCGGCGAGGGGAGUGAAAAAGAACCUGAAACCGUGUACGUACAAGCAGUGGGAGCCUCUUUAUGGGGUGACUGCGUACCUUUUGUAUAAUGGGUCAGCGACUUAUAUUCUGUAGCAAGGUUAACCGAAUAGGGGAGCCGAAGGGAAACCGAGUCUUAACUGGGCGUUAAGUUGCAGGGUAUAGACCCGAAACCCGGUGAUCUAGCCAUGGGCAGGUUGAAGGUUGGGUAACACUAACUGGAGGACCGAACCGACUAAUGUUGAAAAAUUAGCGGAUGACUUGUGGCUGGGGGUGAAAGGCCAAUCAAACCGGGAGAUAGCUGGUUCUCCCCGAAAGCUAUUUAGGUAGCGCCUCGUGAAUUCAUCUCCGGGGGUAGAGCACUGUUUCGGCAAGGGGGUCAUCCCGACUUACCAACCCGAUGCAAACUGCGAAUACCGGAGAAUGUUAUCACGGGAGACACACGGCGGGUGCUAACGUCCGUCGUGAAGAGGGAAACAACCCAGACCGCCAGCUAAGGUCCCAAAGUCAUGGUUAAGUGGGAAACGAUGUGGGAAGGCCCAGACAGCCAGGAUGUUGGCUUAGAAGCAGCCAUCAUUUAAAGAAAGCGUAAUAGCUCACUGGUCGAGUCGGCCUGCGCGGAAGAUGUAACGGGGCUAAACCAUGCACCGAAGCUGCGGCAGCGACGCUUAUGCGUUGUUGGGUAGGGGAGCGUUCUGUAAGCCUGUGAAGGUGUACUGUGAGGUAUGCUGGAGGUAUCAGAAGUGCGAAUGCUGACAUAAGUAACGAUAAAGCGGGUGAAAAGCCCGCUCGCCGGAAGACCAAGGGUUCCUGUCCAACGUUAAUCGGGGCAGGGUGAGUCGACCCCUAAGGCGAGGCCGAAAGGCGUAGUCGAUGGGAAACAGGUUAAUAUUCCUGUACUUGGUGUUACUGCGAAGGGGGACGGAGAAGGCUAUGUUGGCCGGGCGACGGUUGUCCCGGUUUAAGCGUGUAGGCUGGUUUUCCAGGCAAAUCCGGAAAAUCAAGGCUGAGGCGUGAUGACGAGGCACUACGGUGCUGAAGCAACAAAUGCCCUGCUUCCAGGAAAAGCCUCUAAGCAUCAGGUAACAUCAAAUCGUACCCCAAACCGACACAGGUGGUCAGGUAGAGAAUACCAAGGCGCUUGAGAGAACUCGGGUGAAGGAACUAGGCAAAAUGGUGCCGUAACUUCGGGAGAAGGCACGCUGAUAUGUAGGUGAAGCGACUUGCUCGUGGAGCUGAAAUCAGUCGAAGAUACCAGCUGGCUGCAACUGUUUAUUAAAAACACAGCACUGUGCAAACACGAAAGUGGACGUAUACGGUGUGACGCCUGCCCGGUGCCGGAAGGUUAAUUGAUGGGGUUAGCGGUAACGCGAAGCUCUUGAUCGAAGCCCCGGUAAACGGCGGCCGUAACUAUAACGGUCCUAAGGUAGCGAAAUUCCUUGUCGGGUAAGUUCCGACCUGCACGAAUGGCGUAAUGAUGGCCAGGCUGUCUCCACCCGAGACUCAGUGAAAUUGAACUCGCUGUGAAGAUGCAGUGUACCCGCGGCAAGACGGAAAGACCCCGUGAACCUUUACUAUAGCUUGACACUGAACAUUGAGCCUUGAUGUGUAGGAUAGGUGGGAGGCUUUGAAGUGUGGACGCCAGUCUGCAUGGAGCCGACCUUGAAAUACCACCCUUUAAUGUUUGAUGUUCUAACGUUGACCCGUAAUCCGGGUUGCGGACAGUGUCUGGUGGGUAGUUUGACUGGGGCGGUCUCCUCCUAAAGAGUAACGGAGGAGCACGAAGGUUGGCUAAUCCUGGUCGGACAUCAGGAGGUUAGUGCAAUGGCAUAAGCCAGCUUGACUGCGAGCGUGACGGCGCGAGCAGGUGCGAAAGCAGGUCAUAGUGAUCCGGUGGUUCUGAAUGGAAGGGCCAUCGCUCAACGGAUAAAAGGUACUCCGGGGAUAACAGGCUGAUACCGCCCAAGAGUUCAUAUCGACGGCGGUGUUUGGCACCUCGAUGUCGGCUCAUCACAUCCUGGGGCUGAAGUAGGUCCCAAGGGUAUGGCUGUUCGCCAUUUAAAGUGGUACGCGAGCUGGGUUUAGAACGUCGUGAGACAGUUCGGUCCCUAUCUGCCGUGGGCGCUGGAGAACUGAGGGGGGCUGCUCCUAGUACGAGAGGACCGGAGUGGACGCAUCACUGGUGUUCGGGUUGUCAUGCCAAUGGCACUGCCCGGUAGCUAAAUGCGGAAGAGAUAAGUGCUGAAAGCAUCUAAGCACGAAACUUGCCCCGAGAUGAGUUCUCCCUGACUCCUUGAGAGUCCUGAAGGAACGUUGAAGACGACGACGUUGAUAGGCCGGGUGUGUAAGCGCAGCGAUGCGUUGAGCUAACCGGUACUAAUGAACCGUGAGGCUUAACCUU